CUCUCGGUAGGCGGUGAUCGACAGCCAAAUCAGCCAAUGAACAAACCCGGAAGCGGAUAGCGGCUCAAAAGAAGGGGGGCUUCGUUUUAAAAAGGGAGGGACUGGCGCUGUUUAAUCCCUGUAGGCGGCGUGCCCAUGGCAGCUGGACAGCACACAGACAGAGAAACACAGUAACUUCACAGCAGCAGGGUUCCAAAAUUUGAGGUACAAAACAGAAAAGUUGCCCAGCAGAUGGAAAAUCAUUUGGAAAUGCAAGGUUUCCCAGUUUAACUAGUAAAUGAGCUAAUUUUUACCUUCAUUAUGGGAUUCUAAUACUGUUGGCACUCUCAAAGCCUUGAUACAGAAGAAGAAAGGAUGCCACUUCAUGAACCAACUUCUGAAGCUUGUUGUAACCUAUGGCUAGUCAUGAUUCUAUCCAAUUAUUCCCAGGGAGUGGAGAGCACAGAAAACAAUAAAAGCAGACACGCGUCAUUUCAGUCCAUUAUAAAUAUUAGGAAGCAGCCUGAAGUUUGGCGACUUACUGAGAUACUUGUGUGUUGGGGAAAAGGGUAGCAGCUGAGAGAAGAGAUCAGUGUGUUGCUUUACACGCACCGCACUGUGAAAGAUGAAGACUACCUACCGUAAUUAGGUUGUGUUCUGGAAGACUACAAGCUUCAAUAUGAUCCUGAAGAAGCUGCUGUGAAAAGUUCUGAUGCAUCUGUGCAGCCUCAUGAGCAUCCAUUGCGUUUCCACAGGCUUUGUUCAGAUCUGAAAGAGAAAAAAGUGGAGAGUGUCACAUUUUUGUACUAAGAGAGAUUAAAUGGCUGACAGUU